AUGGGGCUGGGGUCGGCUGCUCCCCACAGCCAGCAGCACCACAGCGUGCAAACCCUGCCCAGCUCUGUGCUCUGCAUCACCCUGCUUCAGGACGAGCUCCAUGCGGAUCUCAACCUUUGCUUUUCAGACCCUGGCUGCGGCCUAUCCAGGAGCAGCGUCAAACACACGCUGGGAGCUUCCUCGAGCCAGGGUCCCACGCCGAGCCCAUCGCCUCGCAGCCCAGGGCAGGGGCUGCCCAGCAGACCCCCAGGCUCGGGUUGGAGGGGCUCCAGCUGCACUCCCCCAGCGGCCACUUUGGGGACGUGGCCGUGCCCUGCCAUGGCAUGCCCAGCGCCGGGCGGGGAGCAGAGAGGCGGGGGCCCCCCCGGCGUGUUCCCAUCGCUGUGUCAGCGCCGCCGCCCCACCGCCAGCCGGGCGUGCCGGGAACCGCCUGCACCUCUGAUUGCAAAACAGCCGGGCCGGGCGCUGCGCUGGUGCCACGUUCCCAGCAGCUCCCGGGAGACGCUGGAGGCCAAGGUGGUCCCCCCUUGCACCCUGCAGAGCCCCCACGGAUGUUCUGGAUGCCAUCUGGGGUCCCUGUCAUGUCAGAGGAGGUGGGGAGGGAUGCAGGCAUGGAGCUGUGGUCUGAGUGUUGGAACGGCGUACCGUGCAUGGCUGCAGCGCGGCCACGGUGUGGGCACGACGGCUGUGCUCUGUGCCAUGGCUGCGGGUGCACAGUGCCCAGCCAUGGGUUGCAGCCAGUGGGCUCACUGCCGGGCUGUGCCACGUGCCGUGCUGGCCUGGCUGCUGUCAACCACAUCCCAGGGCUCACAGAUGAGCCUGGAACUGCUGGGUGCAGGGCCUCACUGCAGUGAAGCUCACAUUCCUGCAGCAGCUUUUGCUGUUGCUCAGUGCUGCAGCACAUGCUGGUCAGGAUGGCAGUUGCGUGGUGACCCCAGCACCGUGUCGCCAGCACAGGGUGGGAAGCACGGUGGUGGCUGGAGGUCAGUGGAGCCGUGCAAUGAAGCUGGGCCAGGGCUGCCCAUGGCUCCCCAGGGUUACAGGGAUAUGGUGAGGCUCAAAGGACAGGAGAGAUGCAGAGCCUUGUCUGCUGGUUUAGCACCAGGGGGGCCGGCACAUGUCUGA
rnacentral:lncRNA from 1 species